AGCGAACGCUGGCGGCAGGCCUAACACAUGCAAGUCGAGCGGCCGUAGCAAUACGGCAGCGGCAGACGGGAGAGUAACACGUGGGAACGCGCCCUUCGGUUCGGAAUAACUCAGGGAAACUUGGGCUAAUACCGGAUACGCCCUUACGGGGAAAGAUUUAUUGCCGAAGGAACGGCCCGCGUCCGAUUAGCUUGUUGGUGAGGUAACGGCUCACCAAGGCGACGAUCGGUAGCUGGUCUGAGAGGAUGACCAGCCUCACUGGGACUGAGACACGGCCCAGACUCCUACGGGAGGCAGCAGUGGGGAAUAUUGGACAAUGGGCGCAAGCCUGAUCCAGCCAUGCCGCGUGGGUGAUGAAGGCCCUAGGGUUGUAAAGCCCUUUCAGCGGGGAAGAUAAUGACGGUACCCGCAGAAGAAGCCCCGGCUAACUUCGUG
rnacentral:rRNA from 1 species